rnacentral:rRNA from 1 species
AUUGAACGCUGGCGGCAUGCUUUACACAUGCAAGUCGAACGGUAACAGGCCGCAAGGUGCUGACGAGUGGCAAACGGGUGAGUAAUGCAUCGGAACGUGCCCAGUCGUGGGGGAUAACUACUCGAAAGAGUAGCUAAUACCGCAUACGAUCUAUGGAUGAAAGCGGGGGACCGUAAGGCCUCGCGCGAUUGGAGCGGCCGAUGUCAGAUUAGGUAGUUGGUGGGGUAAAGGCUCACCAAGCCAACGAUCUGUAGCUGGUCUGAGAGGACGACCAGCCACACUGGGACUGAGACACGGCCCAGACUCCUACGGGAGGCAGCAGUGGGGAAUUUUGGACAAUGGGCGCAAGCCUGAUCCAGCAAUGCCGCGUGCAGGAAGAAGGCCUUCGGGUUGUAAACUGCUUUUGUACGGAACGAAACGGCUCUGGUUAAUACCCGGGGCUAAUGACGGUACCGUAAGAAUAAGCACCGGCUAACUACGUG